rnacentral:rRNA from 1 species
GAUGAACGCUGGCGGCGUGCCUAAUACAUGCAAGUCGAGCGAACGGACGAGAAGCUUGCUUCUCUGAUGUUAGCGGCGGACGGGUGAGUAACACGUGGAUAACCUACCUAUAAGACUGGGAUAACUUCGGGAAACCGGAGCUAAUACCGGAUAAUAUUUUGAACCGCAUGGUUCAAAAGUGAAAGACGGUCUUGCUGUCACUUAUAGAUGGAUCCGCGCUGCAUUAGCUAGUUGGUAAGGUAACGGCUUACCAAGGCAACGAUGCAUAGCCGACCUGAGAGGGUGAUCGGCCACACUGGAACUGAGACACGGUCCAGACUCCUACGGGAGGCAGCAGUAGGGAAUCUUCCGCAAUGGGCGAAAGCCUAACGGAGCAACGCCGCGUGAGUGAUGAAGGUCUUCGGAUCGUAAAACUCUGUUAUUAGGGAAGAACAUAUGUGUAAGUAACUGUGCGCAUCUUGACGGUACCUAAUCAGAAAGCCACGGCUAACUACGUG